GACGAACGCUGGCGGCGUGCUUAACACAUGCAAGUCGAACGGAAAGGCCCUGCUUUUGUGGGGUGCUCGAGUGGCGAACGGGUGAGUAACACGUGAGUAACCUGCCCUUGACUUUGGGAUAACUUCAGGAAACUGGGGCUAAUACCGGAUAGGAGCUCCUGCUGCAUGGUGGGGGUUGGAAAGUUUCGGCGGUUGGGGAUGGACUCGCGGCUUAUCAGCUUGUUGGUGGGGUAGUGGCUUACCAAGGCUUUGACGGGUAGCCGGCCUGAGAGGGUGACCGGCCACAUUGGGACUGAGAUACGGCCCAGACUCCUACGGGAGGCAGCAGUGGGGAAUAUUGCACAAUGGGCGGAAGCCUGAUGCAGGAACGCCGCGUGCGGGAUGACGGCCUUCGGGUUGUAAACCGCUUUCGCCUGUGACGAAGCGUGAGUGACGGUAAUGGGUAAAGAAGCACCGGCUAACUACGUG
rnacentral:rRNA from 1 species